rnacentral:rRNA from 1 species
AGAUGUGAUUCUAGCGCAACGAGUUAUCUGAACCUUCGGGGAACGAUAACGGCGUCGAGCGGCGGACGGGUGAGUAAUGCCUAGGAAAUUGCCCUGAUGUGGGGGAUAACCAUUGGAAACGAUGGCUAAUACCGCAUGAUGCCUACGGGCCAAAGAGGGGGACCUUCGGGCCUCUCGCGUCAGGAUAUGCCUAGGUGGGAUUAGCUAGUUGGUGAGGUAAGGGCUCACCAAGGCGACGAUCCCUAGCUGGUCUGAGAGGAUGAUCAGCCACACUGGAACUGAGACACGGUCCAGACUCCUACGGGAGGCAGCAGUGGGGAAUAUUGCACAAUGGGCGCAAGCCUGAUGCAGCCAUGCCGCGUGUGUGAAGAAGGCCUUCGGGUUGUAAAGCACUUUCAGUCGUGAGGAAGGUAGUGUAGUUAAUAGCUGCAUUAUUUGACGUUAGCGACAGAAGAAGCACCGGCUAACUCCGUGCCAGCAGCCGCGGUAAUACGGAGGGUGCGAGCGUUAAUCGGAAUUACUGGGCGUAAAGCGCAUGCAGGUGGUUUGUUAAGUCAGAUGUGAAAGCCCGGGGCUCAACCUCGGAAUUGCAUUUGAAACUGGCAGACUAGAGUACUGUAGAGGGGGGUAGAAUUUCAGGUGUAGCGGUGAAAUGCGUAGAGAUCUGAAGGAAUACCGGUGGCGAAGGCGGCCCCCUGGACAGAUACUGACACUCAGAUGCGAAAGCGUGGGGAGCAAACAGGAUUAGAUACCCUGGUAGUCCACGCCGUAAACGAUGUCUACUUGGAGGUUGUGGCCUUGAGCCGUGGCUUUCGGAGCUAACGCGUUAAGUAGACCGCCUGGGGAGUACGGUCGCAAGAUUAAAACUCAAAUGAAUUGACGGGGGCCCGCACAAGCGGUGGAGCAUGUGGUUUAAUUCGAUGCAACGCGAAGAACCUUACCUACUCUUGACAUCCAGAGAACUUUCCAGAGAUGGAUUGGUGCCUUCGGGAACUCUGAGACAGGUGCUGCAUGGCUGUCGUCAGCUCGUGUUGUGAAAUGUUGGGUUAAGUCCCGCAACGAGCGCAACCCUUAUCCUUGUUUGCCAGCGAGUAAUGUCGGGAACUCCAGGGAGACUGCCGGUGAUAAACCGGAGGAAGGUGGGGACGACGUCAAGUCAUCAUGGCCCUUACGAGUAGGGCUACACACGUGCUACAAUGGCGCAUACAGAGGGCGGCCAACUUGCGAAAGUGAGCGAAUCCCAAAAAGUGCGUCGUAGUCCGGAUUGGAGUCUGCAACUCGACUCCAUGAAGUCGGAAUCGCUAGUAAUCGUGGAUCAGAAUGCCACGGUGAAUACGUUCCCGGGCCUUGUACACACCGCCCGUCACACCAUGGGAGUGGUAUGCAAAAGAAGUAGGUAGUUUUACGUUGUGACAGAGGUAGCACGCAUAGUU